AAUUAAGUGUUCAGCUUGGUUGGUGGCACUGGGCUGUACCCAUGCUUUGUGAGCAUGGCGGGGGGGGAGGGACUAGAAGCUACAUGGAGGGUAGACCCCCCCUCAUUGUUUUGGCUUAGUAUGCAAAAUUCUCUUUCCCCACCUGGCAACCACAGCCCCUGCCUGGGGUUCCUUCCCCGGCACCUUCUUCCUCCACUUCCUAACCAUCCAAUCCCAAGUACUGGUUACCCAGGCAGGUUGGGGGGAUGAUUUCCUUAUAGCAUCCAAACACAAAAGACCUCAGCAUCCUCUCACCCGCAUAUUUCCGCUCCUUUGGGUCCUUCAGGGUUCAGCUCACCUUAGGCAUUUCUGUCUUGUUGGAAAUUUCCUUGCUGAGAGGAACAGAAGGUCUGAGCAGGCAUCGGGGCCCCAGGCCUCAGUGGUCUUGUGAUGCAAAGUAUGGGGUGGGAGGAUUGGUUGGGGCAUCUGCUUGGCUUGUAUUUGUUUCUACAGCAUUCUCUGCAAAUGUGCCAUUGACUUUCCCACCACAGGGCCUUUGCACACGCUGUUCUCUCUCUCUAGGGCUUCGCACUUUCUGAAGUUUAACUCCCCCUAACCACCAUUUACUAUGUCUUACUGUGUGCAUGGUAUGGAGAAUGCAGAAAGAAAUAAGACUAGUCUUUUUAUGGUAAAAAAAAGACCACUUUAUGGCCUCUGGAGGUGGUGGUAAUAACAACGGCAGAGGCAACAAGAAAGGCAGGACCACUGAAGGAGGGGGUCACCCUGUGUCAGGCAUUUAUACAUACAGUGUCAUUCAAAACUUACAACAGUCCUGAACGCCUGUCAUUACUGUUAUUCCCAUUUUCUGAGGACACUGAAGUUCACAGAGGUGAAGUCCUUUGUUGAGCUGGCACUUGGCAGGGUUGGGACUCGGGGCCAGGCCUCUGGCUCUUCAAAGCCAUGUUUCUGACCAUAGCAGCUUCUCACCCUCUGCGCCAUGUGGUGAAAAGUCACCAUUCAAGUCCAACUCCACCCUGGCAGGUCUUCAAGUUGAUCUGCAUUGGAAGGAGUGAAAAACGAAGAGAAUGCUGGUCUAUCCCAUGGGGUGCAGGCCGUAGCUGGAGGUGCCAGCCCAAGACUGGGCAAAGGGGGGGCUGGGCACGGAUGCUGCACACCCUGGCCAGCCGGCCCCCGCCAGCCCUGCAGAACCCUUCCCACUCAGCGUAUUCACAGGGGACAUUUUCCCAAGGUGUGAAAUACAGGACUGCCUGUUCAGGGGGACCAGAGGCUUUGGGAAGGCAUUCCGAGGAUGAGCCUCCCUGACUCGGUGCUCUUGCAUUGCAUAGUUUGGACAGAGGGAAGGCUUAUACUUGAUGUUGAGCCCAUAACAGACCGAUAAGUCAUGCUUGGGCUCCCAAAGUCCUGGUUGGGCUCUGCUGUCUAGGAAACCAAAGCUGAUCAUUCAUGAAUAAUGUGGGCGUGACAUUGUGUAACAGGGCUGGUUGAUGGGCUGGGGGGGGUGACUCAUUUCUGGAGGCCUUGAAUCAGACCACUGUUAUUUCCUUUGGCUUCCAGUGGACCUAACCCAGACUCCCCUAAACACCUACCUGCUUCAGUCACUGAAUCAGAGAUGUGGGCUCUGGGAGGCUGUGGAGAGCUGUGGCCUUAAUGCGGGCCAAGGCCAGUUAGAGAAAGAUGCUCUCUAGGAGGUGACGUUACAGGCUUCACAGAGGGGCUGGUGGGACAACCCAGGAAGAGGGGGCUUGAUCCAGGUGAGGGUAUAGAUAUUAAGACCCCACAGGGCAGAAGGGAGUGCAGGGUUUUGGUUGGAGCCAAGAGAGCUCAGAGGGAAAAGAGACAAAAUGUGAUCCUUGAGAAAGAUUAGACUCUCUUUUCUCUCCUCCUCUACCCUCCUCUCAUGAGCCGGAGGGAGGGGAAGCAGAACUAAGAAGAGUCUCCGGAUAAAGGCAGCCUUUGGAGAGGACAGGGCUUCAUGCCUGCAUUGCAGCUGUCUUGAAAAUGUCCCCGAGUGAGACCUGAGCAGGCGGAGCCCGGAGCUGGUGAACUGAAUGCCUGUGUGGGGCCGUCAGGCCACCUGCAAGCAGGGGCUCCCACAGGAGCAAAGCAGGGUGACCCUCGUCCUGGGGUAGCUCCCUGAGGGCAGGGUGGAGUCUUGUCUUCUCAGUGCCUUCCUCCCUCCCUCCCUCUCUCCCUCCCUGCACACCAUCAGUGCAUCACGAGCUUUGGACCCAAUAAGCAAAAGCUCAUCAAGAAGAGGCCCAGAAGGGGGCAAUGGAGGAAGAUACUGGAAGGGUGACUCUGCAGCAGUCACCAGGCUGAAGAUGCCCUUGGAGCCAAGUGCAGAGGCCAAGAGGGACAGUUGACAAACUGUGCAAGUCCAAGCGGAAGGUGCCAGGCCACACACAGUCAGUGUCCCGUUAUGGUCAGGAAUGGUGCCCGGCUUUCAGGACACUGCUCACCCAACCGCCACCUUCCAUGGGCCUUUGUGGGAUUCUAGGACUAUCAGGGACUGCCUGGGAAGGAAAACUCGUUCCGCCACUGCCUCCAAGAAGGGACCACCUGGGCUCACAGUCACUGCUCACCGAACAUUCCUAUAGUUCUUCCGGGUUAUGCAUUUUUGUGAUCACUUAACUAUCUUUUCGGAUAACCAAUCAAAUCUAUAAAGACAUGUUACCAGCAAGGACUUGUCCCAAAAUCUGACAUUUGCUCCAGACCUCUUCCUCCUGCCUCGUCCCUCAUACUGACCCAUUAGUAACGCCCCCCAAAGCACUGACCAACCCAGGACAGGUGGUUUGCCCAGUUAUCAUGGGUGCCUCAUGGACAGUCCAGCCAGCUUUCCCUCAGCAGGGAGCUUCAUUUUGCCAACAGAGCUGGACUGGGAAGAGCCUGGAUCAUGGGUUUGGGCUGUGUGUCCACCGGCUACCAUCUUGGGAGGGCCGGUGGCAGACGCCAGGAGCUGGCCGGCAUCAGGGUACAAUCUGGUAGCCACCGAAAAGACCCUCAUCCUCGGAGGGUCUGUGAGCCCACAGACACCUGCUUGCUUUGGCUCGCCUUGGCUGGGUGCAUUUCCGGCAGAGAAGAGUGGGAAAUGGACCGGUGGUUGAGAGCUGAUAGAGGGAGGAAAGGGUCUUUGGUGCUGGAAUGAGAUAUUUGUGAGCCCCUGUCUACAAACAGACAAAUGCUGGCCUUGUGAACAACAUUGCUGGAGAACACGACUCAAGUGUCACCAUUGCCUGAAGCAUUCCAGUGGGAGAUGACGGUGGAAUGGGCCUGCCAGUGCUGCUCUGCACGUAAAAGGGAAGAUUAAAAGGAGCAAAUGGCCAGGAAGGCAAAGUGGACCAUGUAAUGAGGCAGAAGAUGUGAGGGGUCAGGAUGUGAGAGGGAAAGCCAUUGAUGGGGAUUGCUGAGGACGGGGCACUCCCGAGGAUGAGAGCUAUGGUAGCGGUUCUUGGACCCUUUCCAUGUCUGUGCUCUUGGCCUACUGCCUUCUAUAUGGAUUCGUGAGACCAAGAAGCAAAAGGAAGGAAGAAGGGCUUCUCAGCAGAAAUGCCCCCAAAACAAAGACUUUCUGCCACCAGCAGAGCUGCAGCUGGGGCUGGGGGACACUUGCCACUCCUCCCUGCCUCAUAAUCACAACUUUCUCACUCAAAGACUGUCCAUCUGUCCAUCCAUUCCGCCAAGGCCCAGAGCCCCAUGCUGAUUUCCUUUGGAAGAGCCCCAGCUCCCGGAGCGGCCUCGGCAACAGCAGGGCCCACAGACGGCUCCAAGCCCAAGCUUCCCAUCACAGGCAAUGGUCGGCCUGGUCCGUGGAAGUUAAAAUAACACACUGGCUGUUUAUGAGCAAGAGCCCUCAAUAAAGUCAUCGGUUGGUUCUCUA